UAAGCGGAGGAAAAGAAACUAACAAGGAUUCCCCUAGUAACGGCGAGCGAACCGGGAAGAGCUCAAAUUUGUAAUCUGGCGCCCCUCGGGCUCAGAGUUGUAAUCUACAGAGGCGUUUUCCGUGCCGGCCCGUGCCCAACUUUGCUUGGAACAGUGAGAUCAAAGAGGGUGAAAAUCCCGUACUUGACACGACCGCCGGUGCUAUGUGAUACGUCUUCUAAGAGUCGAGUUGUUUGGGAAUGCAGCUCAAAACGGGUGGUAAAUUCCAUCUAAGGCUAAAUAUUGGCGAGAGACCGAUAGCGAACAAGUACCGUGAGGGAAAGAUGAAAAGCACUUUGGAAAGAGAGUUAAACAGCACGUGAAAUUGUUGAAAGGGAAACGAUUGAAGUCAGUCGUGUCCGAGGGGUUCAGCCGGUCCUGCCGGUGCAUUCCUCUCGGACGGGUCAACAUCGGUUUUGUCCGGCGGACAAGGGCAUGGGGAAAGUGGCACCUUCGGGUGUGUUAUAGCCCCGUGUCGCAUACGUCGGACGAGACCGAGGAACGCAGCUCGCCUCACGGCCGGCGUUCGCCCACGUACGAGCUUAGGAUGUUGACAUAAUGGCUUUAAACGACCCGUCUUGAAACACG
rnacentral:rRNA from 1 species